CAAAGAUCGAAUGGGGAGAUUAUCGUAGCGGCGUUGGCUUCCGUGUGGAUUGCGAUGGCCGGGACUUCGGUUCCGCGUCACGCGUUCGCUGCGGUAUGUCCGACGUCGUCGGCGUGCACUUCUCCCCUAGUAGGACGUCGCGACCCGUUGGGUGUCGGCCUACGGCCCGGUUGGUCGACUGUCGCGUCGCGUUCACGCGUGCACGCGGCAGACCACCGGUUGCCCGGCCGGCUGCCCGGCGGUAUAGAUCGCUAUAAAACGGUAAUGAGCCGCACUAAGUGCGUUCUGGCUCGUCGGCAGGCUCGUCUCGCUCGGAUUUACGGACCUAGUGCCGUUGUCGGGCGCUUGGCGUGGCCGUUAGUCGACGAUGUCCUCGAACUGGCUCUUAAUCAUUCGAACGGAUUUACCGGUCGGCGACGCUACUGCUUUGGUACUUCAGACGCUGAACACGGACCAAGGAGUCUAACAUGUGCGCGAGUCAUUGGGACUUGUUAAGCCUAAAGGCGCAAUGAAAGUGAAGGUCGACCCUAGCGUCGACCGAGGGAGGAUGGCUCGCGUCACGAUGCGAGCCCGCACUCCCGGGGCGUCUCGUGCUCAUUGCGAGCAGAGGCGCACCCAGAGCGUACACGUUGGGACCCGAAAGAUGGUGAACUAUGCCUGGUCAGGACGAAGUCAGGGGAAACCCUGAUGGAGGUCCGUAGCGAUUCUGACGUGCAAAUCGAUCGUCGGAACUGGGUAUAGGGGCGAAAGACUAAUCGAACCAUCUAGUAGCUGGUUCCCUCCGAAG
rnacentral:rRNA from 1 species